rnacentral:rRNA from 1 species
AACCCUGAUCUAGCCAUGCCGCGUGAGUGAUGAAGGCCUUAGGGUCGUAAAGCUCUUUCGCCUGUGAUGAUAAUGACAGUAGCAGGUAAAGAAACCCCGGCUAACUCCGUGCCAGCAGCCGCGGUAAUACGGAGGGGGUUAGCGUUGUUCGGAAUUACUGGGCGUAAAGCGCGCGUAGGCGGAUUAGAAAGUUGGGGGUGAAAUCCCGGGGCUCAACCUCGGAACUGCCUCCAAAACUGCUGGUCUAGAGUUCGAGAGAGGUGAGUGGAAUUCCGAGUGUAGAGGUGAAAUUCGUAGAUAUUCGGAGGAACACCAGUGGCGAAGGCGGCUCACUGGCUCGAUACUGACGCUGAGGUGCGAAAGUGUGGGGAGCAAACAGGAUUAGAUACCCUGGUAGUCCACACCGUAAACGAUGAAUGCCAGUCGUCGGGUAGUAUACUAUUCGGUGACACACCUAACGGAUUAAGCAUUCCGCCUGGGGAGUACGGUCGCAAGAUUAAAACUCAAAGGAAUUGACGGGG